GUAGGGUGCAAGCGUUAUCCGGAAUCAUUGGGCGUAAAGAGCUCGUAGGCGGUUCAGCAAGUCGGCUGUGAAAUCCCGAGGCUUAACCUCGGAACUGCAGUCGAUACUGCUGUGACUAGAGUCCGGUAGAGGAGAAUGGAAUUCCCGGUGUAGCGGUGAAAUGCGCAGAUAUCGGGAGGAACACCAGUAGCGAAGGCGGUUCUCUGGGCCGGUACUGACGCUGAGGAGCGAAAGCGUGGGUAGCAAACAGGAUUAGAUACCCUGGUAGUCCACGCCGUAAACGUUGGACACUAGGUGUGGCGUUCCGACCAACGGGUGCCCGUGCCGAAGCUAACGCAUUAAGUGUCCCCGCCUGGGGAGUACGGCCGCAAGGCUA
rnacentral:rRNA from 1 species